UACGGGGGGGGGGCAAGCGUUGUUCGGAAUUACUGGGCGGAAAGGGCUUGUAGGUGGCCAACUAAGUCAGACGUGAAAUCCCUCGGCUUAACCGGGGAACUGCGUCUGAUACUGGAUGGCUCGAGUGUGGGAGAGGGAUGCGGAAUUCCUGGUGUAGCGGUGAAAUGCGCAGAUAUCAGGAGGAACACCAAUUGCGAAGGCAGCUCGCUGGGACGUAACUGACGCUGAGACGCGAAAGCGUGGGGAGCAAACAGG
rnacentral:rRNA from 1 species